GGGGAGGGCUGACCCUGGUGCGGUGGUGCCCCUCUGGCCUGCUGGAUCCCCUCUCUGCCUCUCAGUAGAUGUGGCAGCAUGAACAGGCACCAGGAGGACCCAGAAGAAAGGAGGUGACUGGCUGAAGCCUGGGGCCUGGGGAAGGGGCCUGGCUGGCUUUCGGGGAAGGAGGAGUAAGGGGCUUCACUGUGUGCAUUGGACCCAGAGGUUUCAAGAACCUUCCGGAGGCCUCAGGGAAGAACCUGAACUCUUGCUUGAGGAAAAGAAGAGAAAGCUCUGAACGAGCAGCCAGAGGAGUGGGCAAGGGAGUGAAUGAACUCGUGCAGCAGAGGGAAUGAGCAGAAACUGCCUGGAAGGCCCACCAAGAGUGUGGGGGGCUCCUUGUGAGGACUGACCAGGACCAGCUGUGCUCGGCUCAGGGGACUCAGCAUAAACGAGGAAGAUCCAGCCCUUGUCCUUGGGGACGAGGGACUCAGAUAGGAACUCAGAAAUCCUCAGGCCUCGAGAGCGUCAGCAUGACCUGGAGAACUAAUGAGAAUGCAGCAGACCAAGACUGCCACUGCUGGGAAGAUCGAGUCGUUUCCAGCCUUUAAGAACAACUAAAAACCUAGGACGCCACGUAUAACGCAAACAUAAGAGGACUCUGGAAAGCGGAGAGAAAGCCGACUGGCUGGGGACUUCGGGACCGGAAGAGCGACACGGUGGUAUUGUGAAUGACGCUGCUAUGAAUAUGAGUGUGCAAAUCUAUCUUCAAGACCCUGCUUUCAGUUCUCUGUGGUGUAUGCCCAGAAGUGGAAUUGCUGGAUCACAUGAUUAGCCCUGAGCUAACAUCUGCCACCAAUCCUCCUCUUUUUGCUGAGGAAGACUGGCCCUGAGCUAAUAUCUGUGCCCACGGCUAGACAAGCGAUGUGUAGGUCCUGACCUGGGAUCUAAACUGGUGAACCCUGGGUUGCCGAAGCUGAACGUGCAAACUUAACCACUGCGCCACCACGCCAGCCCCAGCGUUUCUUCUUUUUUAUUGCCAAGAGGGGUGUCACUGCAUGGAGUAGCACAGCUCCCUUAUCUGGUCACCUA
rnacentral:lncRNA from 1 species